rnacentral:rRNA from 1 species
GUGGGGAAUUUUGGACAAUGGGCGCAAGCCUGAUCCAGCAAUGCCGCGUGCAGGAAGAAGGCCUUCGGGUUGUAAACUGCUUUUGUACGGAACGAAACGGUCCGGGUUAAUACCCUGGGCUAAUGACGGUACCGUAAGAAUAAGCACCGGCUAACUACGUGCCAGCAGCCGCGGUAAUACGUAGGGUGCAAGCGUUAAUCGGAAUUACUGGGCGUAAAGCGUGCGCAGGCGGUUUUGUAAGACAGGCGUGAAAUCCCCGGGCUCAACCUGGGGAUUGCGCUUGUGACUGCAAGGCUGGAGUGCGGCAGAGGGGGAUGGAAUUCCGCGUGUAGCAGUGAAAUGCGUAGAUAUGCGGAGGAACACCGAUGGCGAAGGCAAUCCCCUGGGCCUGCACUGACGCUCAUGCACGAAAGCGUGGGGAGCAAACAGGAUUAGAUACCCUAGUAGUCC